UAGAAAUCAGGCUCUCUUAAGCUCACUAAUUUUGGUCAUUGAAGUGAACUGAAAUGAAAGGAUAUAAUUUAUUCUCUUGCUUCAUUACAGAAUCUUGCUGCUGAGAAAACAUACAAUAACCUAGAUAUCACGGUGACCCAGGCCCUUCAGCACCGUUCACAGUAUUUUGAAGGUGUUGUGAAGUGCAAUAAGCUGGAAAUACUGGAGACCAUCGUGGACAGAAUAGUAAGAGCUGAGGUCCAUCGGCUGGUGGUGGUAAAUGAAGCAGAUAGUAUUGUGGGUAUUAUUUCCCUGUCGGACAUUCUGCAAGCCCUGAUCCUCACACCAGCAGGUAAAAUGCUGGUUUCUGACCUUUGCCAUCGGCGUCUAGGAAGGGUGGGAGGUAGAACAGGAAGUGCAGCAUUUAAACCGUCAUUUCUCCACCCACCUACAGAUCAAGGCUUUGAGUAUAUUACUUUGAAACCAUUUUCGUUUUCUUUU
rnacentral:sRNA from 1 species